AUUCAGUAGAUAGGUAUAUUAAACGUAUGCUGAGUUUGUGAACUUUCCUGUUUGUUUAUGGAAAUGUAACCAUGUCUAAAGUCGAAGAGCAUUGCUGCUUAUGAAAAAAAAUUGCCCAGUAGGAUGUAGGACAUACUUCCUCAUUUACAGAAGCCAGCAUCGGCUGUCUUGUGGAAGAGUCGGUCACGGUCACAUCUGGGAGCGGCACUGUCGUUCCUGUCUCGUAUGUGCUCCUGUGUCACAUGUCACCUGUCAUCUUCAGAACCUGGAGGUUAUGACUUCGAGAAGCCAAGGCCUGCUCAGGUGACGACAGCUUCAGAGAAGCAGGAGUUCCAUCCGAGCUAAAAACCAACAUGGCCUGACCUCCCUUCCUGCACACCCGGGCAUGGGGCAGAAGAGUAUCGAAGGACAAGACGUCAUCCGCACGAAAAUCACCCGUGUGCUUUAUCAUCCACGA
rnacentral:lncRNA from 1 species